rnacentral:rRNA from 1 species
GACGAACGCUGGCGGCGUGCUUAACACAUGCAAGUCGAACGGAAAGGCUCCAGCUUGCUGGAGUACUCGAGUGGCGAACGGGUGAGUAACACGUUGGUAAUCUGCCCUUCACUCUGGGAUAAGCCUUGGAAACUUGGUCUAAUACUUGAUAUGACCUUUCUCCUUAUUGUUUUUUGUGGAAAGUUUUUCGGUUUAGGAUGAGCCCGCGGCCUAUCAGCUUUUUGGUGGGGUUAUGGCCUACCAAGGCGACGACGGGUAGCCGGCCUGAGAGGGUGAUCGGGAAAAUUGGGAAUGAGAUACGGACCAGAAGCCGACGGGAGGCAGCAGUGGGGAAUAUUGCACAAUGGGCGGAAGCCUGAUGCAGCGACGCAGCGUGAGGGAUGAAGGCCUUCGGGUUGUAAAACUCUUUCAGCAGGGACGAAGCGUAAGUGACGGUAACUGCAGAAGAAGCACCGGCUAACUAUGUG